GGGGCUGUCCUAUAGGGUAUAUUUUUGGGUGUUUACUCCUAGUGUAGGAGAAAACAUUUUUUUAAGGUGGAUCUAGAUGAAGGUGAAAAUGACUAUGCUAACAACCCAUAGUAGGAGUAAUGCAUAUAUGGGUGGAGUGCAUAAGUGAUAUUAAUUUUUAAAGAAUAACAAGACUUUUAUAAGGUAUACAACAAUGGUUGACUAAACUCAAUGUAAAUCAAGCAACAUGAAUGUGCAAAGGUUUUUCUAACUCUAAAUGUAUCAUAUAUGGCUUUGUUAGAAAUUUAAACUUUAUCAUACAAGAGCUCAUCAUGUAGGAUUUUGGGUUUUUUGAAAAUAAAUCUCCAGAACUU
rnacentral:lncRNA from 1 species